rnacentral:rRNA from 1 species
ACCGGAUGCGGAUCUCGAAAACCUGUCCCAGUUCGGACUGGAGUCUGCAACCCGACUCCACGAAGUUGGAUUCGCUAGUAAUCGCGCAUCAGCCAUGGCGCGGUGAAUACGUUCCCGGGCCUUGUACACACCGCCCGUCAAGCCAUGGGAGCCGGGGGGCNCCUGAAGUCCGGGACCGCGAGGACCGGCCUAGGGCGAAACUGGUAACUGGGGCUAAGUCGUAACAAGGUAGC